rnacentral:rRNA from 1 species
GUGGGGAAUCUUCCGCAAUGGACGAAAGUCUGACGGAGCAACGCCGCGUGAGUGAUGAAGGUCUUCGGAUUGUAAAGCUCUGUUAAUCGGGACGAAAGAGCCUAGUGUGAAUAAUGCUAGGAAGUGACGGUACCGGAAUAGAAAGCCACGGCUAACUACGUGCCAGCAGCCGCGGUAAUACGUAGGUGGCAAGCGUUGUCCGGAAUUAUUGGGCGUAAAGCGCGCGCAGGCGGAUCUGCCAGUCUGUCUUAAAAGUUCGGGGCUUAACCCCGUGAUGGGAUGGAAACUACAGAUCUAGAGUAUCGGAGAGGAAAGUGGAAUUCCUAGUGUAGCGGUGAAAUGCGUAGAUAUUAGGAAGAACACCAGUGGCGAAGGCGACUUUCUGAACGAAAACUGACGCUGAGGCGCGAAAGCCAGGGGAGCGAACGGGAUUAGAAACCCUAGUAGUCC